rnacentral:sRNA from 1 species
ACCAAAGUCUGCAGUGUAACAAAAUGCUCAGAUUUUGCUGUCUCUGGCCAAUGGGAGGUGGUCACUAUGCAUGAAGAGAAGCAAGAGUCAGCCAUCUUUGAUGCUGUCAUGGUCUGCACUGGCUUUCUUACUAAUCCUUAUUUGCCACUGGACUCCUUUCCAGGUAUUAAUGCCUUUAAAGGCCAGUACUUUCAUAGCCGGCAAUAUAAGCAUCCAGAUAUAUUUAAGGACAAGAGAGUCCUUGUGAUUGGAAUGGGAAAUUCUGGCACAGACAUUGCUGUGGAGGCCAGCCACCUGGCAGAAAAGGUGUUCCUCAGCACCACGGGAGGGGGAUGGGUGAUCAGCCGAAUCUUUGACUCGGGCUACCCAUGGGACAUGGUGUUCAUGACACGAUUUCAGAACAUGUUGAGAAAUUCCCUCCCAACACCAAUUGUGACUUGGUUGAUGGCGCGAAAGAUAAACAACUGGCUCAAUCAUGCAAAUUACAGCUUAAUACCAGAAGACAGGACUCAGCUGAAAGAGUUUGUGCUAAAUGAUGAGCUCCCAGGCCGCAUCAUCACUGGGAAAGUGUUCAUCAGGCCAAGCAUAAAAGAGGUGUAAAUAAGUUACCACCACCAAGUGUCAUGAUGGAGGAAAUUAAUGCAAGG